GUCUGUUUAUGGGAAAUAUAUGCUUCCUCCCCUCCAGCGCAGCUCAGGAACCGUCAUUUAAGUAGUGCCUGUGUAUCCUGGGGCUUGAGAUGUGUGCACUCAUUUCGUCCUCCCAGGGCCUUGGAGGGACAGAUGGUGCCAGCACGCUGUUUGCUAAGGGGCCCAGGAGGGUCAGACAUCCAACCCAGACCCUGCUUCUUUCCCCAGAGCCAUAAAGGCACAGUGAGGAAUAGUGACCAGGGAGAGGCCAGGAACCCUUGAGGGCUACCUGGAGCUUUGACAACCCAGUCAGCGGGGAGGGGCACAGUAUGUGGAGAAAGCCAUCUUUCCUAAGCUGGUUAGGCCUAAAUAGCUUCAGGCCAAAAAAGGCUGUCAGACCUGCUCUGUCAGUGACCCCCAACAGCACACCCAACGCCCACACACCUGCCGAACCCAAAUCUCACCCUGAGGUGAGGAAAGGAGCUACAUGCACAGUCAGGCACUAAGCUGGCCUGGGAAGAGGCCCGGCCUGGCCCCAGCACCAGAUGGUGUCCUUGAGGAAAAGGGAGAGAGACCAUGGGCAGAGACCAUCCCGCAUGGAAGCCACUCCCAGCCCCCGAUGCCCCAACUGAAGAGGAAGGCAGGAGAGCCCCAGCCACACUGGAAUGCAAUGACUGAACCCACAGCUGCUCCCACACACAGAGGCGCGGCCCAGCCAGCAUUUGGGAGGGCCGCUGCUCAGCUAUGACCUGGCCCAUGCAGCAGGAGCCUGGGACACUCAGAGUGGAGGCCCUUGUGGCAGCUGAGCUCCCAUCCCUGUGUCACUCACUGACCCUGAACACCACGGAGGACACACAGGCUUCUGGGUCUGUGCUCACCCCUCAGGAAGAUUAGCCUUGAGCUAACACCUGCUGCCAAUCCUCCUGUUUUUGCUGAGGAAGACUGGCCCUGAGCUCACAUGGGUGCCCAUCUUCCUCUACUUUAUAUGUGGGAUGCCUACCACAGCAUGGAUUGCCAAGCGGUGCCAUGUCUGCACCCGGAAUGUAACCAGCGUACCCCGGGCUACUGAAGCGGAAUGUGCACACUUAACCUCUGUACCACCGGGCUGGCCUCAAGGAUGAUCUCUCUUCUGUGGCUCCCAUAAACACUAGAGAAAAGGCCAAGCUCCUGAAAAACAGGUACAAAGACCUUUCCUUCUGUUUCUUUUCCAUCAACCCAGCUCAGUCUUGGGUACCCAGCCUGUUCCCAGGAAGGAGUCAUGGCUACUCUUCUGGAGCACCUCCGUUGC
rnacentral:lncRNA from 1 species